UACGGGGGGGGCAAGCGUUGUUCGGAAUUACUGGGCGUAAAGGGCUCGUAGGUGGCCAACUAAGUCAUACGUGAAAUCCCUCGGCUUAACCGGGGAACUGCGUCUGAUACUGGAUGGCUUGAGGUUGGGAGAGGGAUGCGGAAUUCCAGGUGUAGCGGUGAAAUGCGUAGAUAUCUGGAGGAAUACCGGUGGCGAAGGCGGCAUCCUGGACCAUUACUGACGCUGAGGCACGAAAGCUAGGGGAGCAAACGGG
rnacentral:rRNA from 1 species